CGGGGUGUAAUUUUUGUCGUCUUAGGAAACACGUUAAUGAAAUAAUUUGUUUUGAAGGUUGGUCACUGCUAGGCCUCGGUGCAGAUAAAUACCUGAAUAAGGGUGACAGCAGUGUUGUUGAAGGUCCCUGAGCAUGUUUAAAAUCAUCAAUGACCAUAAAAAGACUGAGCAGAGUCUGGGGCAACACUACACAAUUUUCGGUCUCUUUUGCACAUAUACAUGGUUCUUUUGGAGGAAAAUGAAUGUACAGAUGGGCACCAGAUGGCCACAGUUUCUUGCACUCAUAAAAGUACUUUUCCUGCCAUAAACAGAGUUGUACAGUUUUACUCCUCUCUGUGGGUUUUCUGUGAUUUGUACAGAAAAAAGUGAUCUAAGCUGUCUAUAUAGAAAGGAGUUGUGCCCGAGUUGAGUACUUUUAAUAACCACAAAUGUUACACUAUAGGUGUGCGAGCUAGCUCAACUUCCCUUUUUUUUUUGUUCUCCUUUCUUGCUAUUUUUUUCAAGCGUUGUUUCAAUUCAGUUUUUUUAUAAAGCGCCAAAUCGCACCACAAGCUACCUCAAGGGGCUACCCAAGAGUAAGGUGUUGAAAUGAACACCAAGGUAUCGAUCAGUGAUAAAGAACUAAACUGCACAACUCGGUGAUUGUAUAGAUGACAGAUCGGUCAUUGAGGUAGGAGAUUUCCCAUAGUUCUCCCCAACCCAGGUGUGCCACCAACCUCUACCUCUCGAUGCCCGUCAUCCAGUAAAGUUUAAUAUUACCGUCUUACCCAGAGUCUUUGACCUGCACACACACCUGUCAGCUCCAUAAAGAUUCCACCAAUUAACCUCAUAAAUGCUUAAAUUGUGAGCUAGAAAAUGUUUAGGUCCAUCACUCACACAUGGCUUACAGCUAGAACUCGGCAUGUCAACUACCCACAGCUACGGUGACGACUCUCAACCACCGGUCCAAUUAUUGCUGCUCUCGCCUUGAAAAUUGUGUAGUUUGGCCCUGACUGAAUACAACUCGGGUUUGUGGGGCAUCCAGACAAAAUGAGUUUUGCCUACAGACAGUGACAAUGCGUUCAGAUGGUAAACUGUUCCUUUGAGUCACCAUCAGCGCACAGGUAGAUCUAUGUUCCGAAAAUGAGUUGAAUACAUUAAUAGCAAGCUUUUCACACAAGUUCUUACAAUGCCACACAGAUCCACUCAUACAACCUUUUAUUACUUUACAAAGGGGGAAAAUAUGAUUGCAAAAA